UUUUGUUUAUACGUUAUUUAGAAGCGGAAGCACAGAGUUGUUCUGCUCCAAAAAUGCAAUCUUGCGUCUCAUCCUUAGGGAGCUUAAUAACACAGGCAGCGUUAGACAAGGAGAAAAUAUGCAGUGCAGGAAAUAUCUAUCUGGAAUGUGUUACUAAAGUUGUAACUGACUGCAGUUUAGAUGUAGGUCAGACCUUAAUCAAAGCAAAACAGGUCCUAUCCCAGUUCGGCUGUGUUAGUGAUAGUGGUGCUGGAAGUCUUGUGAUCAACUUGGUUACCUUGGGGUUAGGACUUGCAUUUUAUAAACUCUUGUUGUACCUUAUUGUAUAACUAAAUACACAACGACAAUCAUGGCGCCAAGAAUGAAUGGACUUAUAUCAAUGAUAAUUUUCAAACAUGCAAAAUAGAUUAAACAAAAUCUCACAUGA